rnacentral:rRNA from 1 species
AUUGAACGCUGGCGGCAGGCCUAACACAUGCAAGUCGAACGAGUGGCGGAAGGGUGAGUAAUGUCUGGGAAACUGCCCGAUGGAGGGGGGGAACUACUGGAGACGGUAGCUAAUACCGCAUACCAUCGGAUGUGCCCAGAGGGGAUUGGCUAGUAGGUGGGGUAACGGCUCACCUAGGCGACGAUCCCUAGCUGGUUUGAGAGGAUGACAGGGUACACGGGCACUUAGACACGGUCCAGCAUCCGAAGGCAGGAAGCAGCGGAGAAUAGUGCACAAUGGGCCAAAGCCCGAAGCAGCCAUGCCGCGUGUACGAAGAAGGCCUUCGGGUUGUAAAGUACUUUCAGCGAGGAGGCGUUACUCGCAGAAGAAGCACCGGCUAACUCCGUGCCAGCAGCCGCGGUAAUAC